GAGCCAAAGAGGUUCAAAAGUUUAUGAAGACAACCUUGAAAGUUUUGCAUUUGUGUCCUUUGAAGAGAUAAUACAGGUCGUGUGCAGAUACAGAAAUAAACGAAGAUUUCAGUUGUGGAGAGCCCAUUUACAUUCUACAGAAAGAAGUCUAAGUAACGCAAAAGGCUCUGUAAAAUUUUCUCUAUGCACAUUAAGAGCACAGUCCUGCUUCUACUGGAUUCCUGUCAAUUUGUCCUCGUCUGUAAGCUCAGCCAAGUGUUGUCUGGCCACUUCAUGGAUGA